AGCCUCUGGUAGCUCAGUUGGUAGAGCGGUGGACUGUAGAUCCAUAGGUCGCUGGUUCAAAUCCGGCCCAGAUUA